AACGAACGCUGGCGGCAGGCCUAACACAUGCAAGUCGAACGAAGCCUUCGGGCUUAGUGGCGGACGGGUGAGUAACACGUGGGAACGUACCUUUUGGUUCGGAAUAACGCAGAGAAAUUUGCGCUAAUACCGGACGAGCCCUUCGGGGGAAAGAUUUAUCGCCGAAAGAUCGGCCCGCGUUGGAUUAGGUAGUUGGUGUGGUAAAGGCGCACCAAGCCUACGAGCCAUAGCUGGUCUGAGAGGAUGAUCAGCCACACUGGGACUGAGACACGGCCCAGACUCCUACGGGAGGCAGCAGUGGGGAAUCUUAGACAAUGGGCGCAAGCCUGAUCUAGCCAUGCCGCGUGAGCGAUGAAGGCCUUAGGGUUGUAAAGCUCUUUCAGCGAGGAAGAUAAUGACUGUACUCGCAGAAGAAGCCCCGGCUAACUCCGUGCCAGCCGCCGCAGUAAAAC
rnacentral:rRNA from 1 species